UACGAAGGGGGCUAGCGUUGUUCGGAAUUACUGGGCGUAAAGGGCGCGUAGGCGGUGCCUCAAGUCAGGCGUGAAAGCCCCGGGCUCAACCUGGGAACUGCAUUUGAAACUGGCGGGCUUGAGUGUGGCAGAGGGGGGUGGAAUUCCGCGUGUAGCAGUGAAAUGCGUAGAGAUGCGGAGGAACACCGAUGGCGAAGGCAGCCCCCUGGGCCAACACUGACGCUCAGGCACGAAAGCGUGGGGAGCAAACAGG
rnacentral:rRNA from 1 species